AAUGGCCUCUCCCUGCCGUGGCCUUGGGAAAUCUUUUCCAGCCUCACGGAUUCUGGGAUUCUGGGAAUGUCCCCCAGGAGCUGCUGAGCCCCGGGAUGGACCCUGGGGACAUGGACUGGGCUCGGACACCCAAAUCCCGGGAUCUGCCUCUUCCCAAAGGAUCCUGUGGCCACUCCAUGGGAAUUCCCGGAGCUCUCCCGAGCAUCCGCCAGCCCCGGCACUUUCCAAGGGCUCCAUGGAAGCGUCUCCUGCUCCCCUUUUCCCUGGAUCCCCCUUUUCCUUCUUCCCAUUUUCCCUGGAUCCCCCUUUUCCCUGGAUCCCCUUUUCCCUGGAUCCCCUUUUCCCUGGAUCCCCUUUUCCCUGGAUUCUCCUCUCCCUGCUCUCCCAGGCUCCUCUCUCCAUCCCAGGUCAAUCCCAAGGAUUCCCAGAUUCCCAAGGCUGGGAACGGAGCCGCUCCUUCCCCUCCCCAAACUUCCCGGGACAUUUCCCAGGCCCCGACUUUAGCGGGAAGAAUUCCAGUGCGGAAAAGGGAGAUGGGAAACGCCGGGAAUUUGCCGAUUUGGGCAAAAAAAGUCGAUUUUUCCAAGAUUCCGGAUGCAGCGGGAAGCUCCUUCCCUUCCCCAAUUUGGGGACAGCACAAAGAUCCCGGCCUCCCCCAUCCCUAAAAUUCCUCCUGGGAUCUCUCCCAGCUGAGAAUUCCCCGGCAGAGCCAUCCCUGGAUCCGAGUGGAGCCGUGGGAUGCGGGGAAAAGCUGCUCCAGCCUCCCUUUGGCCAUUCCCAACUGGGAUUUUUCCAGCUGGAUUUGGGAAUUUUGGGGUUUUCUUUUGUCUUGGUUUUUUUUUUUUUUUAAUUCUGAUUUUCUACAAAAUCGCCGCCACCUCCUCCCUUCUCCAGAGGAAAUUCCCGCUUGGAUUCCCACUGGGAAUGACCUCACCCUCCUCUUCCUCCUCCUCCUGCACCGCCCCUUUCCCAAAUCCAAAUAUCCCGAUAAAAAAAAUCCCCCUCCGCCCUUUCCUCCCUCAACCCCGGAUCAAUUUUUAAAUCCCAAUUCCAAUUUUUUUAAUCCCAAUUCCAAUUUUUUAAAUCCCAAUUCCAAUUUUUUAAAUCCCAAUUCCAAUUUUUUAAAUCCCAAUUCCAAUUUUUUAAAUCCCAAUUCCAAUUUUUUUGAUCCCAAUUUUUAAAAUCCCAAUUCCAAUCUUUUAAAUCCCAAUUCCAAUUUUUAAAAUCCCAAUUCCAAUUUUUUUAAUCCCAAUUCCAAUUUUUUUAAAACCCAAUUCCAAUUUUUUAAUCCCAAUUCCAAUUUUCAAAAUCCCAAUUCCAAUUUUUUGAUCCCAUCCAAUUUUUUAAUCCCAAUUCCAAUUUUUUUUAAAUCCCAAUUCCAAUUUUUUAAAUCCCAAUUCCAAUUUUUAAUCCCAAUUCCAAUUUUUUAAAUCCCAAUUCCAAUCUUUUAAAUCCCAAUUCCAAUUUUUUAAUCCCAAUUCCAAUUUUUUGAUCCCAAUUCCAAUUUUUAAAUCCCAAUUUUUUUAAUCCCGAUUCCAAUUUUUUGAUCCCAUCCAAUUUUUUUUAAAUCCCAAUUCCAAUUUUUUAAUCCCAAUUCCAAUUUUUUAAAUCCCAAUUCCAAUUUUUUAAUCCCAAUUCCAAUGUUUUUUAAAUCCCACUUCCAAUUUUUUUAAAUCCCAAUUCCAAUUUUCAAAAUCCCAAUUCCAAUUUUUAAAUCCCAAUUCCAACUUUUAAAAUUCCAAUUUUUAAAUCCCAAUUCCAAUUUUUUAAAUCCCAAUUCAAAUUUUUUAAAUCCCGAUUCCAAUUUUUAAAUCCCAAUUUUUUUAAUCCCAAUUCCAAUUUUUAAAAUU
rnacentral:lncRNA from 1 species